UGAACCAAGAAGAAUGGCUUCUAAGAAGGUCUUGUAUUUCUGGGUGGUUCUCUUCAUCGUCAUGCUAUUGCUUCAGGCCUCUAUAACUGCAUCCAGACAUCUGCAGGAGGACGCAAAGACUCCUGUGACAGAGGAGAAGGCAAGGAUGCUAGAUGAACCUCAUGGAGGCAAUUAUGGUCCACAUAACUGAUUGGCUAAAUUGUAUUUGACUAUUUGUAGGAGAAAAAAUUCUAAUAUUCAUCUAGUG
rnacentral:misc_RNA from 1 species